rnacentral:rRNA from 1 species
AGAUUGAACGCUGGCGGCAUGCUUUACACAUGCAAGUCGAACGGCAGCACUGGGGCAACCCUGGUGGCGAGUGGCGAACGGGUGAGUAAUAUAUCGGAACGUACCCGGAAAUGGGGGAUAACGUAGCGAAAGUUACGCUAAUACCGCAUAUGCCCUGAGGGGGAAAGCGGGGGAUUCGCAAGAACCUCGCGUUUUCGGAGCGGCCGAUAUCGGAUUAGCUAGUAGGUGAGGUAAAGGCUCACCUAGGCGACGAUCCGUAGCUGGUCUGAGAGGACGACCAGCCACACUGGAACUGAGACACGGUCCAGACCUCCUACGGGAGCAGCAGUGGGGAAUUUGGACAAGUGGGCGCAAGCCUGAUCCAGCCAUCGCCGCGUGAG